GGACUACUGGGGUAUCUAAUCCCGUUUGCUCCCCUGGCUUUCGCGCCUCAGCGUCAGAAGAGAUCCAGUCCGUCGCUUUCGCCACCGGCGUUCCUUCGGAUAUCAACGCAUUUCACCGCUCCACCCGAAGUUCCACAGACCCCUACCUCCCUCGAGACCACCAGUAUCCAAGGCACUUCCCCAGUUGAGCUGGGGGCUUUCACCCCGGACUUGAUGGCCCGCCUACGCGCCCUUUAAGCCCAGUGAUUCCGAACAACGUUCGCACGGUUCGUCUUACCGCGGCUGCUGGCAC
rnacentral:rRNA from 1 species